rnacentral:lncRNA from 1 species
GAUUUCAUUCACCUUACGUUGAUUAUUCUGCAAUGGCCUGGAAAAUCACUGAGUUGUUUUGAAAUAAGCACCUUUAUACUCUAUCAAGGUCAAACGUUUUACUUGAUGUACUUAACUAACCAUGUAAAAUAUUACAUCAGCAAGCCUACGAGGCACUUGGAGAUAUAUUCACAUUUGCAUAAUGUCCUCUGUAAGUUAGUCUUUGGUCCUUAAGGGUGUUUAGAAUAACUGCAUGCAAGAAUAUAUUUAAUCCAAUCUCAUUUUAGCUUUUGCUCUUUUAAGAUUUCAAAAUUAAUAAAUCCUCCUGAUACUCCAAAUUACCAUGAGCUUUUAUAAGCAUAACUUUGUAACUUUAACCCAUUUAUGAACAUACCCCACAGGCAAAUGUACUAAUGAAUAAGAAAUAACAUUAGAAGUUUAAAAGAUGGUCUCUUUAUGAAGUAAUGUAAGAAAAUCCUGUUAGCUGGAUCCGGUACAAAAGUGCGAUUUCUUAAAAAAUACAAAAUCCGUCACAAAAUUACAUGUAAUUACAAUAACCAAAGGAUAGAAAGUAAGAAUAGUUGAAGUACCAUGCAUUAUUUAACUUAGUACAUGUUAUCACUUGCUUGCAUAUGGAUGAAAGCACGGGAAAAAAGGAACUGACACAAACUCUCCGCCUGCAGCUAAAGAAAUUGUGGUAUUUUGUACCUGGCUUCCUUGUAUGUGAAUUCUUGGCCAAAACCAUCAACACACCUGAUAGGUAGAAUAUGCUUCAGGUUUCUUCAGUCAUUACCUGCUGGCUGCUUCUCUUCUUCAACCCCCUUCUCACUGUCUACCUUAUUCUAACGUUACACUACAAAAUAAAGUCAGUGUUCAGAGCUGAAGAAAAUGCUAAAAUCCACUUGGUCAACAAACUAGGCCACUCCUUCAAUACGGGCAACAAAAUUACGAGCCAUAUCUUAUUAUCAUAGGAACACUUACAUGUGAAUUUCUAUUUUCCAAAUUCUUUUGUGGUGUUUUUAUUCCAUUUGUUGGUGCUAAGUACCAUAUUGCAAAAAGGCCUCUCACACAUGCCUCUGGUUCACUGAGUAGGACACCGUCGCAUACAAGGGAUAAAUCACUUGCCCAAUGUCACAUGCUAGUGCUUGCCUGGGCAGAAAAGAGAAUUUAGAUUCACUGAGAUGCUAAUCUUACAUGGUUCACUAAGAAGAUGUCUGAAAAAAGGAUGAAGUACUGCCUUAAAGCAUUUGAAAGGAAGAUUGUGAAGAGCAGGAAAUGAUAUUAUGUGAUAAGCUGUGAACACGGAGAGUCUCGCAUAUGGGCCAGCGGAGUCUUCAUGGCAGAAUGUCUAGUAUGUUAUCUGCAGCUGAGGGCAUGAAGAGAGGGUGGGGAAGCAGUGAUGGGUGGGAUGUUUCCAGAUGGGAAAAGUGGGGCUGACUUCUGCAGGCCAUUCCUGGAAUGGGUGCUCUCCGAUGUUGCUGAUAAUCUUCCUGGAAAGCUCCACAGCUUCAAAAGUUUCUAUUCUUCCUGUGUUAAGUAGACCUAUAUAACUGACAUGCUGCCUGACAUUCAUUGCUUCAAGGUACAGGUGGAAAAGGAUUUGGGCUAAUCAAAAGCAGUGACUCUUAUCUCCACUGCUGUCUUGCUGUGUGAUCUUGGACAAGCCAUUUGCCUAUUCUGUGCCUCAGGUUCCUCACCUUCGUUGAAAGGAAAUUGCCAAACAGAGUCAGUUAUUCCAUGUCUGAUGCAGUCUCUUCAAACAGACCAGUGGUUCUUAAACUC